AGCAGGUGGGAACUUUGAAUCAGGCUUCUUCAGCCCGGGCAAUUCAAAAAACAGAUACUUGGGCAUUUGGUACGAGAAUAUCUCAACUCACACGGUUGUUUGGGUUGCCAAUAGAGAAGCUCUGCUAACCAACAAUACCAGAAUCCUAAACAUCAGCAGCGAUGGAAAUCGCAUUCUCUCCCAUCAGGCAGCCAAAGUUUCCUGGUCGACGAAUUCAUCGAAAGCAAGCAGUCCAGUGGCACAGCACUUAGAUACCGGGAAUUUUGUUAUGAAAGAAGGAAUGAAACUGGUCUUGACCAAUAUCUUACCACAUGGAAGAGCACUGAUGACCAUUCACCAUGGGACUACUCAUUGUUGAUCGCGGGCAGGAUCUCUACAUUCGUCUUGCAGCAUCUGAACUGAAUUCUUCUCAUAAGGAGGAAAAUGAAAACUUCAGACUUCUUUUUUUGCGGGAAAAGGAAGCGAAAGCCACCCAACUUUAUUAGGAAAGGUUAUUUAUCGAGCUAUGUAUAGAAGGAAACCAAACAGUCGAUGAAAGUUGCAAUGUAAAGAGAUGGUUCAUGGUUACUCUAAGUUACAUAAUGAAAACAAAGCAGAAAACCCUUUGGGAGGGGGCACUCGAAAGAGAGAGGCCCACCAUCCAGUUCCUAACCAGGUGAACGGCUAGUAAGAGAUGCUAGGCGACUCCAGAGGUGAUUGUGGCCACUCCUAUUUUUGGUAGAGCAAAGAAGCUCCCAAGACUUGAACGAUUGGAGGAUUUUUACAUAAGACAAUUGCCUUGGUGCAGCUUCUUUUUAGAAAAAUUCUGGAAUUGCGCUCAUGCCAAAUCUCCCAGCAACGAGCUGCAAGUUGAUCAAAAGCACAUCAAAGAGAAGAGGUAGUGUUGCACUUCCUCCAACUAGACCAAAGCUGCCAUAGAUUGGUGGGCAUCCGUGACAAACCAAGUUGAGAAAUAAGAACAUUCAAGAUAGAUUGGGUGAAGGGACAUCUAACCAAACGAUGGUUGAUUGUUUCAACCCUCCGUCUGGAAAGGGCACACCCUACAUUGACAUGCCAACAUUUUUUGUCGAGGGUUUCACCAGUGUAUAGCCUAUUGCACAAAGCAAGCCAAAGGAAAAUUUUUAUUUUUUCCAAAAUAGCAGAUCUCCACAUAACCUUGCUAAAAGGACAAAUGAGCCCACCAUUGUUGAUGAAGUUAUGGUAGGAUUUAACGAUGAAGACACCAUUUUUGCUGAGUUCCCAAGUUGGAGUAUUGAGGACCCGAAGGUUUCACACAAGCAAGGCUAGAGCAUAGCACAUCCAAUUAUCUAUAUUGACCCAAGCUUAGAGGACCGCGAAACUUGAUGUUCCAUGCCAAUGACCACUGCAACCAUUGAAGAGGCAACUAGGCAAUUUUUGUUGCAGGCAACCAGGUAGAGAUCACAAAAUAGGGAACAAAGCGGUCUUGGUCCAGACCUGCAAUCAUCCCAGAAUCUAAUCGAAGCUCCGUUGCCCAAUUUGAAAGAGAGACAAGUCCAGAAGGCAGCUAGAUGACUGCAUGCAUCUUUCCAGAUAGGUAACAUCCUCGAGUUGCUCCUCCUUAUUCUCAUCCCAAUUUUAGUUCGAAUAUAGUAGGAACAUUUGAUCUGCCUUCCCCAAAUCGGGUUAUUUUCAGAGGUGAACUUCCAAGCCAAUUUAGCAAGGAGAGUGCGGUUCAUCUGCUCUAGGUUUUUCAUACCUAAGCCACCCUGUUCUUUUGAUCUACAAAUAGAGUCCCAAUUAACAAGACAAUGGAAGCCACUAAUUUCUUCCUUCCCCCUCCCAAGGAAAGUAUGGCUCAUAUGGUCAAUUCUUCUGAUAACCCAUUUAGAAAGCCUGAAAAUAGACAUGUAAUACGAAGGGAGAGAGGAGAGUUCCAAGUUUAGCAGAGUUAUUGUACCACCCCAAGAGAAUAGUUUACCCUUCGAUGAAGCCAAUUUUGAGUGUAUUUCUUUCCAAAAGCGGCAACCAACACUACUUGGGGAUCUUCUGGUCAUAUAGAGGGAGGCCAGAUAGGUGAGAGGAAGAGAACUCUUCUUACAGUUCAGAUAGGUUCAAGCAGAUGAUUUGGCUUUCGUGGAAAUUGAUUCUCAAACCAGAAGCACUUUCAAAAGCCAAGAGAAGGGCUUUAGCAGCCAAGGGACUUUUCUUCUUUGCGGCGCAGAACAAUAGUGUCAUCGACGAAGAGUAGCCUUCUAAUACUUGCAAAUACAGCAUAUGAACAAAUUCCAUCGAUGAGACCCAGAGAGAAUGCCUGUAAGAGAAGCUUAGACAGAACAUCAGUGGCCAAAAUGAAGAGGCCAGGAGAUAAAAGGUCUCCUUGCCUCAACCCCUGUCUACAUCUAAUCCAGUUUUCUGGUCUUCCAUUCACCAAAAGUGCCACCAAAGCUGAGCUAAGAAGGCAUCUAAUCCAACCAAUCCACCUUGAGGUGAACCCUCUGACCUUCAAGACAUCAAACAAGAAGCACCAAUUAAGCUUGUCAAAAGCUUUUUCAAAAUCAAGUUUACAUAGGACACCCUGUUGACCAGUUCUUCUACAAUAAUUGAUCAUGUCAUGAGUACAUAAGAAAUUUUCAAGAAUAUUUCUCCCUUUUACAAAAGCCGACUGUGCUUCAACAACUAAGAAUAUUUCUCCCUUUUACUCCGAGUGAAGUUAUGACCCUUAAAGUCCAAGUCCAGCAGGCCAAGUGAGGAGAUGAAGUCCAAUUACAAAAAGUUAUCCCUCGUGCUUUGACGGUUACCUCUUCUAUCACAGGUCGCUUUGGUGAUGUUGAAAUUACCACUGAGAAGUCAAGCACCUAGGGGUGGAGGCUCGAAUAUCAGAGAGUUCUUGGAAGAAGGGGGCUCGUAGUGCAGUGUCAUUGAGAUUAUAGAUAGAGGUAACUAUCAAAUCCUUUCUCAGCAUGACAAAACAGUACCAUAAUAAGGGAGUAAAGUCUUGAAGUAGAGGACUUUAGAGAGAACAACCUUGAAUUCCAACCAUUUAAAAC